rnacentral:rRNA from 1 species
ACGAACGCUGGCGGCGUGCCUAAUACAUGCAAGUCGAACGCUUCUUUCCUCCCGAGUGCUUGCACUCAAUUGGAAAGAGGAGUGGCGGACGGGUGAGUAACACGUGGGUAACCUACCCAUCAGAGGGGGAUAACACUUGGAAACAGGUGCUAAUACCGCAUAACAGUUGAUGCCGCAUGGCAUAAGAGUGAAAGGCGCUUUCGGGUGUCGCUGAUGGAUGGACCCGCGGUGCAUUAGCUAGUUGGUGAGGUAACGGCUCACCAAGGCCACGAUGCAUAGCCGACCUGAGAGGGUGAUCGGCCACACUGGGACUGAGACACGGCCCAGACUCCUACGGGAGGCAGCAGUAGGGAAUCUUCGGCAAUGGACGAAAGUCUGACCGAGCAACGCCGCGUGAGUGAAGAAGGUUUUCGGAUCGUAAAACUCUGUUGUUAGAGAAGAACAAGGACGUUAGUAACUGAACGUCCCCUGACGGUAUCUAACCAGAAAGCCACGGCUAACUACGUG